rnacentral:rRNA from 1 species
AUUGAACGCUGGCGGCAGGCUUAACACAUGCAAGUCGAGCGGAGAUGAGGUGCUUGCACCUUAUCUUAGCGGCGGACGGGUGAGUAAUGCUUAGGAAUCUGCCUAUUAGUGGGGGACAACAUUCCGAAAGGAAUGCUAAUACCGCAUACGCCCUAUGAGGGAAAGCAGGGGAUCUUCGGACCUUGCGCUAAUAGAUGAGCCUAAGUCGGAUUAGCUAGUUGGUGGGGUAAAGGCCUACCAAGGCGACGAUCUGUAGCGGGUCUGAGAGGAUGAUCCGCCACACUGGGACUGAGACACGGCCCAGACUCCUACGGGAGGCAGCAGUGGGGAAUAUUGGACAAUGGGCGGAAGCCUGAUCCAGCCAUGCCGCGUGUGUGAAGAAGGCCUUUUGGUUGUAAGGCACUUUAAGCGAGGAGGAGGCUACCUGGAUUAAUACUCUAGGAUAGUGGACGUUACUCGCAGAAUAAGCACCGGCUAACUCUGUGCCAGCAGCCGCGGUAA